rnacentral:tRNA from 1 species
AAGGAUUUAAGUUAACUUAUAAACUAGUAACCUUCAAAGUUAUCAAUAUUAUUAUUAUUAAGCCUUA